rnacentral:rRNA from 1 species
GAUGGGCUCGCGGCCUAUCAGCUUGUUGGUGAGGUAAUGGCUCACCAAGGCGACGACGGGUAGCCGGCCUGAGAGGGCGACCGGCCACACUGGGACUGAGACACGGCCCAGACUCCUACGGGAGGCAGCAGUGGGGAAUAUUGCACAAUGGGCGCAAGCCUGAUGCAGCAACGCCGCGUGCGGGAUGACGGCCUUCGGGUUGUAAACCGCUUUCGCCUGUGACGAAGCGUGAGUGACGGUAAUGGGUAAAGAAGCACCGGCUAACUACGUGCCAGCAGCCGCGGUGAUACGUAGGGUGCGAGCGUUGUCCGGAUUUAUUGGGCGUAAAGGGCUCGUAGGCGGUUGAUCGCGUCGGAAGUGGAAACUUGAUGCUUAACGUUGAGCGUGCUUUCGAUACGGGUUGACUUGAGGAAGGUAGGGGAGAAUGGAAUUCCUGGUGGAGCGGUGGAAUGCGCAGAUAUCAGGAGGAACACCAGUGGCGAAGGCGGUUCUCUGGACCUUUCCUGACGCUGAGGAGCGAAAGCGUGGGGAGCGAACAGGCUUAGAUACCCUGGUAGUCCACGCUGUAAACG